GGCCCAGCGACGACCUCUCUGACGAGGUGCAGAGCUUAGCUGAUUGGUGAACAGUGAUUGGUUUCCGCCUUGUUCACAGUGGCUAAGUUCUGCACCUGAAGAGAAGGUGAGAUGGGCGCGGCC
rnacentral:tRNA from 14 species